rnacentral:rRNA from 1 species
UAGUGUUGCAGUUAAAGCUCGUAGUUGAAUUUCUGAUAGAAGGGAGCGGUUCCGCAUUCUUGCGGAUACUGGCUCGUCUUCCGUCAUCCUUGGGCUUAGUCUCGCUGAUAUUAACUUAUCGGCGUGUACGAUGCCCAUCGUUUACUGUGAGCAAAUUAGAGUGUUCAAAGCAGGCAUUUUGCCAUUGAAUAUAUUAGCAUGGAAUAAUAAGAUAGGAUUUCACGAUUUUAUUUUGUUGGUUUGCGUUGUGAAAUAAUGAUUAAGAGGGACAGUUGUGGGUAUUCGUAUUCAGAUGUCAGAGGUGAAAUUCUUAGAUUAUCGGAAGACGAACGACUGCGAAAGCAUUUACCAAGGAUGUUUUCAUUAAUCAAGAACGAAAGUAUGGGGAUCGAAGAUGAUUAGAUACCAUCGUAGUCUAUACCANAAACUAUGCCGACUCGCGA